AUGUCGUUCCAGCAUGAGCAGGCAGAAUGGAACCUCACGCCAUCUACUUAUGCCUUCUUAAAACCUUGAGGUCCAGCAGCCAGAUCCGGGCGCCAAACAUGGUUCAGACAGGAUGGAUGCUCUGGCACAGGGUCUGACAAAUGUAGGUUUCAUCUCAGAGCCGCAGGCGUCCUUUGCAGUGUGGAGCCACCACUGCUGCCUAAGUGCUUUUUCUUGAUAACAUCGUUGGCAGCUUAAUUGGUAUUUCUUGCUCGUAAUAACGUGCCCGUGGUGUGAACCGCCCAGUGUUUUCCUCCGGCCUCUUGGCCCCGACACUGGCGGUUCCUUGUGCUUCUCUUUCCAGGCCUGGCUCUGGCGCACCGACAUACCUGCGUGGCCCUUUGGUGCUUCUCUACCUGGCGGCGGACUUGGGAACGGAGACAGCAACUGUGGGGACACCAGGAGCGCCUGGCGCAGUUGGCAGGAAGGGUGGCCGCACGGAGGGGGCUCGCCCGCUGGAAGCAGUAUGUGGCGUUGCGCGCAGACUCGAGGAUGCAGGAUGAGCUGGCUGAGCGCCACUACGGGCGCCGGCUCUUGCGCCGUGGGCUGACAGCCUUGCGGAGGAAUGUUGUGGAGGCGUCCGUCAAACAGAUAAGGAGGAACCUGGCCCAUCAGCAGCACCGGAUUGCACUCUUGAAAAGGUUCUGGGGUGGCUGGAAAUCUCUCUUGGAGCAGAAGGAGGAAGAUCAGCUCCACUCCCUGACGCUGGCAGCAAACGCCCACUACAGGUGCUGCAGGGGGGCUGUUUGCUGGGGGAGGAGGGGUAGCAGCCCUAGAGCCCCCCCGGGGGGUGUCCCUUUGGCGCAUAGGUGUUUGAAACUGUUCAGUGGUGACUCUGGGCAAUGUAAAACUGUGAACAAGAGAAACAUAUUACAAAAAAAAAACACUGGUAAUCCAACAAACUCGGUGAAAGUUAAGAUUGAAUUUAAAAUGAAAAUGAAAAUCAGGCCAUGGCUAUAGGUGUUAAAUAUAGACUCUCAGCGGACUACUGAGAUGGCUGAGUUUGAAAAGCCUGCUGAAAUAGAGAAGUUUUCAGAGGUUUCUUAAAAGUUUCCAGAGAAGGGACCCAGCAGACUUUGGGCAGCAGGUGCGUUUCCUGAGCAGGGGAGCCACCACCGAGAAGGCCUGGAUUUUUCCUUUCCUCCUUCCUGGUUUCUCCCCGGAUCGGCAUCCUCAGCUGCCUAGCCAAGGACAUACAGGCAGGAGAGCCAGUCCCUCUUGGAAGGAGACGUUCUCCCUAGUACUGGGGUCCCAAUCCAUUGAGGUCUUCAGCAUGCCUGGCACCUUCCUUUGUGCCUUGGAAGUGGUGGGUCCGUCUCUCUUCCCCUCCCCUCGACAGACUUGGCCCCAGUGCUGAAGAGAACUGUCCGUGGGUCUGGAGCUCCAGGGAGUUGACCCAGCAGGUGAGAGGGCCCCCCCGAUAGCCUGACCUGCCCCCUUUACCUUUCAGCUCAGUGCUGCUGCGCCGAUGCCUCCGGACCUGGUGCCACCACGCCAGCAGGAGACAACACCAGACGGUAAGAGGGUAGCCAAGCCCAGCAGUUCCUCUCUCUUUCUACACUCGGCCUCUUGCUCCCAAAUAUUUCCUUUUUGCACCUGCUGCUCUGCCUUCUACCUUCCUGAGUUCUAGCCCUUCCCUUGCUGUGCUUCCUCUCCGUUUUGUUUUGUUUAUAUAUAUAAAAAAAACAGAAGCCAGGAGGCAUGUGACGUAGCUUUUCCCAUCCAGGUGGACGUCAUGGGCCACCAGCUGAAGACCAAGCCCUUCGCGCCUUCAAAUUGAGUUUUCCAAAGUUUUCUUGACUGUUUCUUAAGGCUUAAAAACAGUGUGGCUUCCUCUCUUUUUAUUUAAAGGGCAGGCUGUGUACCUAUAAGUUGCCUUUCUUCAGGUGGUCAGCUGUGAAUUCCCACAUAGUUGGUUUCGGCGCCUGUUCUCUGGGCUGGUUUUAGAGGCUCUUGAGCAUUUAAUCCAGGCAGCCUUUCAGUUUUCUUGACUGUUUCUGAAAGGCUUAAAAACAGUGUGGCUUUCUCUCUUUUUUUAAAAAGGGCAGGCUGUGUACCCACAUAGUUGGUUUUGGCAGAGGCUCUUGAGCAUUUAAUCCAGGCAGCCUUUCUGAAGAUUAGCCCGUGAGACAGAUGAGAGAUUUAACAGGGUUCUCUGCAUUUGGAUAAUUAAUAAAGAGAUGUCAUGUAGCA
ensembl:lncRNA